AUUGAACGCUGGCGGCAGGCCUAACACAUGAAAGUCGAGCGGUAGAGAGAAGCUUGCUUCUCUUGAGAGCGGAGGACGGGUGAGUAAUGCCUAGGAAUCUGCCUGGUAGUGGGGGAUAACGUUCGGAAACGGACGCUAAUACCGCAUACGUCCUACGGGAGAAAGCAGGGGACCUUCUGGCCUUGCGCUAUCAGAUGAGCUUAGGUCGGAUUAGCUAGUUGGUGGGGUAAUGGCUCACCAAGGCGACGAUCCGUACCUGGUUUGAGAGGAUGAUCAGUCACACUGGAACUGAGACACGGUCCAGACUCCUACGGGAGGCAGCAGUGGGGAAUAUUGGACAAUGGGCGAAAGCCUGAUCCAGCCAUGCCGCGUGUGUGAAGAAGGUCUUCGGAUUGUAAAGCACUUUAAGUUGGGAGGAAGGGCAGUAAAUUAAUACUUUGCUGUUUUGACGUUACCGACAGAAUAAGCACCGGCUAACUCUGUGCCAGCCGCCGCCGUAA
rnacentral:rRNA from 1 species